rnacentral:rRNA from 1 species
CUACGGGCCGCACCAGUCGAGAAUCAUUCGCAAUGCGCGAAAGCGUGACGAUGCGACGCUGCGUGGAGGAUGAAGGCCCUCUGGUCGUAAACUCCUGUCAGGAGGGAAAAGCCGGCACUUGGUCAAUACCCUUGUGCCCCGAUGGUACCUCCAGAGGAAGCCACGGCUAACUCUGUGCCAGCAGCCGCGGUAAUACAGAGGUGGCGAGCGUUGUUCGGAUUUACUGGGCGUAAAGGGUGCGUAGGCGGCGUGCAAAGCUGGAUGUGAAAGCCCGGGGCUCAACCCCGGAACUGCAUCCGGAACUGGCAUGCUAGAGACCAGGAGGGGAGAGCAGAAUUCUAGGUGUAGCGGUGAAAUGCGUUGAUAUCUAGAAGAAUACCGGUGGCGAAGGCGGCUCUCUGGAAUGGUUCUGACGCUGAGGCACGAAAGCGUGGGGAGCAAACAGGAUUAGAUACCCCCGUAGUC